GGACAGGAGGUUUCACUGCAUUGGUAGGCUACCGGCAUGACAUUAUAGGAUUGGAACCAUAUAAUUCAGCCCCCUCAGCAGGUUAAGUUUUAUAUCCGAACUUGACUGACAUGGUUCGGACUGAACAGUAUAAAGUGCAUCAGUCCAGUAGUUCUCAGGCCACUGAACUAAAACCCGGAGCCGGGUGGAUGUUAUAGGCACUGUGGAUUUGUCUUGAAGACCUUUUUUCUCAACAUUUUUGUCGUAGAGGACAUAUAGCCUAGACUUUGUGUUGUUACAGUUGGAUUGCACAUUACAGCAGGAGUUAUGAUACUCAGGAGAAAUUUCUACUUGCUGCCUUUGCUGUUACUGUGCAUCAGAGCACUACCUCAAGAUGGCCAUGUGGAAGAU